UUGAGAGUUUGAUCCUGGCUCAGAACGAACGCUGGCGGCAGGCCUAACACAUGCAAGUCGAGCGGACCCUUCGGGGUUAGCGGCGGACGGGUGAGUAACGCGUGGGU
rnacentral:rRNA from 1 species